UUGUAGAGCUUUCACUCAUACUGAGCUUGAAGAUCUCAGGUCCCUGCUUGCGUCGUUAGCUGCUCAGUCACACAGCGACGGCCAAUUCAUCUCUCCCUCAGUUUUCAGAAGCUAUUGGAUUUGAUUAUGUUGUUGGAGCUCAAAAGUUGCAUAUAUUCAAGAAGCCGUGAAGACCAGGUUUUUUAAACUCCUAGAGGCAGAGGUUUGGGAGUUUAAGGAUUGUGUUCCAAGGUUGGUAUUCUGUGUGUAUAUUGGAGAGAAGAUUGAUUGAGGGCUUUGGUCUAUAAAUGGAAGUAUAAAGUUUAAUAUUUAAUGUAUGU
rnacentral:lncRNA from 1 species